rnacentral:tRNA from 1 species
GUUCCGUUGUGUAGUGGUAACAGCCUGCCUGUCACGCAGGACGAUUCGCCGGCUUCGACCCCCGGUCGGGACGCCA